rnacentral:rRNA from 1 species
CACGUAGGGGACGAGCGUUGUCCGGAUUCAUUGGGCGUAAAGCGCGCGUAGGCGGCCACGCAAGUCGGGUGUGAAAUCCCGGAGCUCAACUCCGGAACUGCACUCGAAACUGCGCGGCUUGAGGUAGGUAGGGGAGAGUCGGAAUUCCUGGGUGUAGCGGUGGUAAUGCGCAGAUAUCAGGAGGAACACCGGUGGCGAAGGCGGAUCUCUGGGCCUUACCUGACGCUGAGACGCGAAAGCUAGGGGAGCGAACAGG